rnacentral:rRNA from 1 species
ACUAAAUAGAUACCCAGGUAGUCCACACCGUAAACGGUGGGCACUAGGUGUGGGUCACAUUCCACGUGAUCCGUGCCGUAGCUAAACGCAUUAAGUGCCCCGCCUGGGGAGUACGGCCGCAAGGCUAAAAACUCAAAGGAAUUAACGGGGGCCCGCACAAGCGGCGGAGCAUGCGGAUUAAAUUCGAUGCAACGCGAAGAACCUUACCUGGGUUUGACAUAUGCCGGAAAGCUGCAGAGAUGUGGCCUCCCUUUGGGCCGGUUUACAGGUGGUGCAUGGCUGUCGUCAGCUCGUGUCGUGAGAUGUUGGGUUAAGUCCCGCAACGAGCGCAACCCUUGUCCUAUGUUGCCAGCAAUUCGGUUGGGGACUCAUAGGAGACUGCCGGGGUCAACUCGGAGGAAGGUGGGGAUGACGUCAAGUCAUCAUGCCCCGUUAUGUCCAGGGCUUCACGCAUGCUACAAUGGCCGGUACAAACGAGCUGCGAGCCUGUGA